rnacentral:tRNA from 1 species
GCCGGAGUGGCCGAGCGGUUAAAGGCGCUACAGUCUGGAACACUAGGUCGCAGGUUCGAAUCCUGCCUCGGGCA